rnacentral:misc_RNA from 1 species
CCAGAAUGUACCUCGGGCGCGAGCCCGCAAGUACCUCAACCCUUUCCGCGUACCUUUACCAUGUUGCCUUCCGCGCAGUCAACGGGGCUAGCAUGGCCAUCCUUUGGCCUCUCGCUCCUUUGCGGCGAGGUCGCGCUUGUGUGAGCGUGGCCGGACCUCAAGCUCGCGGAAGGGCUGCAACCCGAACCCUUUGCUUCUGAACCCAGUAGCCUGUCUGAGCUUGUGAAAAGAAAAAAAUAAUAAAGCCA